CCUACGGGUGGCUGCAGUGAGGAAUAUUGGUCAAUGGCCGUAAGGCUGAACCAGCCAAGUAGCGUGCGGGAUGACUGCCCUAUGGGUUGUAAACUGCUUUUAUGCGGGGAUAAAGGGGGCCACGUGUGGAGGUUUGCAGGUACCGCAUGAAUAAGGACCGGCUAAUUCCGUGCCAGCAGCCGCGGUAAUACGGAUGGUCCGGGCGUUAUCCGGAUUUAUGGGGUUUAAAGGGUGCGUAGGCGGUUCUUUAAGCGUGCCGUGAAAUGUCGGGGCUCAACCAUGGGCCUGCGGCGCGUCCUGGUGCCCUUGCGUGCGCGUCCGGCAGGCGGCCUUCGUGGUGUAGCGGU
rnacentral:rRNA from 1 species